rnacentral:rRNA from 1 species
UACGGAGGGUGCUAGCGUUGUUCGGAAUUACUGGGCGUAAAGCGCGCGUAGGCGGCUUUGCAAGUUAGAGGUGAAAGCCCGGGGCUCAACUCCGGAAUUGCCUUUAAAACUGCAUCGCUAGAAUUGUGGAGAGGUAAGUGGAAUUCCGAGUGUAGAGGUGAAAUUCGUAGAUAUUCGGAAGAACACCAGUGGCGAAGGCGACUUACUGGACACAUAUUGACGCUGAGGUGCGAAAGCGUGGGGAGCAAACAGG